AUGCUUUAGAGCGAGAUCAAGGAUCCUGUGUGGACUAGCGUCCUAGGGUGCCAUAACAAAAUACCACAAACUGGGUGGCUUAAACCAGCAGGACUUUACUCUCCCACAAUUCCGGAGGCCAGAAGUCUGAAAUCAAGGUAUUGGCAGGGUUGGAGUCUGCUGGAGGCUCUGAGGAGAAUCCGCUGCAGGCCUCUCUCCCUCUCUCCUCGGCGGUUGCCCGCUGUCCUCAACAGUCCUUGGUCUGCAGCGGCAUCAUCACUGCAAUCCCUGCCGCUGUCAUCACACGGCCUUCUUCCCUGUGUGUGUGUCUGUCUCUGCUCUUUUAUAAAGACACCAACCAGUCCUUGGAUUUAGCACCCACUCUAAUCCAGGAUGAUCACUUGAAGAGUUAACAGAACAUCUACAAAGAAUUCCAGGAUUCCUGCCUCAAGCCAUACCUGCCUGAUGUCCCCUCCUGCCCUUUUCCUCCCAUGGACCCCCAGGCCCCAAACAGUCCUUCCCAUGGGGCCGGAAAUCAGCCUAGAGAGCAGAGUCAGCACAUCUUCUGGAGGAGGCGAGCACAGGGCAAGGAUGAGGAGACCCUGGGCCUGGAUCCCGCUGUGACCUGCAGCGUGGACCUUUCAUCUUUCAUCCAAAAGUAUUUCUUGAGGGCCUACUAUGUGACAAAUGCUGUGUUAGGAAGCUACAACCAUUUACAAACAGACAUAACCCUGCCCUCGUGGAAAUCAUGGCCAGUGGAGGAGGCAAAAAAUAAAUAAGUAGGCAAAGCGACAAAAAGACCUAUUUAUAUUGUAGUGAGUGCUCAGAAGGACAUAGACAGGUACUGGGAUAGAAAAUAAAGUGGAAUUCUAUUUCAGACAAGAUGGUCCAGGAAGACCCUCUGAGCUGAGUCUGGGUGACAGGAAGCUGUCGGCAGGCUGAGGGACCAGAAGGCUGUGUGGAGGGAAAGAGCUCGGUGUGUUCUAACACCUCUAAGUUCCCCGGGGGUAGGGUCCGGUGAGUGGGGGCAAGACCUGUGGCCUGAGAUGGUUGGAGGGGUGGGCAGGGGCUAGACCAGCCAGUCCAAGUUCAGGGAUUUUGAUUUUUAUCUGAGGAGAAUGGGAAAUCAUUGAAGGGUUUUAAGCAAGUGGCAUGAUCCGGCUUAAAUUUUCAAGCAUCACUGUGGCUAUAGGUAUGGGAGUAGGCUUUCGGGGUAGCAGUGGGAGAAAGGAAAGCACUUAAGAACCCCCACAGUGCUCAGGUGAGAGAGGACACUGGCUUGGACUCACUGGUAGAGGGGAGACCGAGGAGGGUUGGACUUUGAGACAAUUUGGGAGGUCGUACCUAGAGGACUUGCUGAUGGGCUGGAGCGAGGGAGGGAGAGGAAUCAAGCCAAAUCUCAGACUUACAGCUUAAGCAGCCUGAAGCUGGGUGGUGUUAUUUACCAAGGUGGGGAUGACUGGUGGGAGGAAGGGGUAUAAACAGUGGGGAUGGGAGCGAGACAAGGUCUUCAGGCUUGUUCUGACUCCAAAGUUAAGGAAGUCAUUAUCUCAUUUUCCUUCCCAGCCUCUCAAGUAAGGCCUGUUCAUCCCACUUUAUAGGCUAAGAAAAGCGGGUUAAGCUUAAUGAGUCAAGAGUCGGGGCUAAGAAAUAACACCAAGGAGCCAGUUUGUCAUUUAGGGCCUUUGGCACCCAAGCCACUGCCGUCUUCUCCAGCCCAGCUAGGAAACCCCCUCCCAAAUAUCUCACCAAGGCCACUUUGUGCCAUCGUAGCAACAGCUCCCAGGACAGGAUACUCUGGCCCCAAGAUACUUUGUCCUGUUCCUAGUCUCCCCUUGAGCCUCCCUCCUCUUCUCAAAAUGCCUUUUUCAGGCUCUCUCCUGGGUCAUUGUCUGCAAAGCAGGAUGCUCAUGGGCUGGGACAGAACCCUACAAAGCUCAGAGAUUUGGGCCUGAGGCCGGCUUCAGCUGGUCUGGGCCCAUUACUUCCCCUCUCUGAGAACUUUAUAUUUCUGACUGCAAAAUGGGACACCAUUCCUCCUUUCUUUAAGGGGUGAGGAGUAGGGGAUUUAGAGUCAGAAAGACCUCAGUUCAAAUCCCAGCCUGCUGUGUGACCUUGGCCAGGUCAAGUUGCAUCACCUGUGAAAGAGGAAUAACAAACGCCUUUCCCAUGGGGCUCUUGUGAGGAUAAAGCAAGAUCAUGGAGGCCAUGGGCCUCACAUCUGGAGCGUC